rnacentral:piRNA from 1 species
UGAAUCAAUUGUUUCUCCACUGCCUG